rnacentral:rRNA from 1 species
UACGAAGGGGGCUAGCGUUGCUCGGAAUCACUGGGCGUAAAGCGCACGUAGGCGGAUCGUUAAGUCAGGGGUGAAAUCCUGGAGCUCAACUCCAGAACUGCCUUGAUACUGGCGACCUUGAGUUCGGGAGAGGUGAGUGGAACUGCGAGUGUAGAGGUGAAAUUCGUAGAUAUUAGGAAGAACACCAGUGGCGAAGGCGGUCUGCUGGGCAGUAGCUGACGCUGAUGCGCGACAGCGUGGGGAGCAAACAGG